GUAGUAGUAGUAGUAGUAGUAGUAGUUGUAGUAGUAGUAGUAGUAGUUAUAGUAGUAGUAGUAGUAGUAGUAAUAGUAGUAGUAGUAGUAGUAAUAGACGUAGCAAUAGAAAUAGCAGUAAUGGUAAUAGUAAUGGUAGUAAUAAUAAUAAUAAUCAUUACCGUCUUCGUAAUCAUAAUAAUUAUAGUAGUAGUAGUAGCGGCAUUAGCAGCAGUAAUAAUAAUAAUCGUAAUAAUAAUAAUGGUAAUAGUGCUAAUGAUAGUAAUAGUAAUAAGGGUAAUGAUAAUUAGUAAUCGAAUAAUAGUAAUGACGAUAAUGACAAUUGCAAAAAUAACAGCGACUAUAUUGAUUGCGUUAAAAACAUUAUCAACUAGUAGUAAUGCGUUUCGUAGCGAACGUAUAUCGUAUGUAACAAAAAUAGAGAAAUUUGGAGAACGAUGAAAGGAAAGGCGACUGAACGAUCGCUUGCCUUUCGUAGGACUUCGAAAAGAAGGAAAAGAGAAAACGAACAAAAUACGAAGGUACGAAAGAUGAUGCGUUUUCGCGCGGAGCGAAAGAAGACCGCGCAACGGUUUAACGGAGGUUCGCCUUCGUCCACGUACUUGAUCGGUCAUUCGCAAAUUCGAAGAAGGAAAGGAAUCGUUUCGUGGGCGCGCGAACUUUCCGCAGUCCGUCGCCUUCGAUCGUCCGCGUUUUAUCUGCGAGGUAUGGCUCGAGUUAAAAAAAA